rnacentral:rRNA from 1 species
UACGUAGGGUGCAAGCGUUAAUCGGAAUUACUGGGCGUAAAGCGUGCGCAGGCGGUUUUGUAAGUCAGAUGUGAAAUCCCCGGGCUUAACCUGGGAACUGCGUUUGAAACUACAAGGCUAGAGUGUGGCAGAGGGGGGUGGAAUUCCACGUGUAGCAGUGAAAUGCGUAGAUAUCAAGUGGAACACCAGUGGCGAAGGCGAGUCCCUGGACAACUUCUGACGCUGAGGCACGAAAGCUAGGGGAGCAAACAGG